rnacentral:lncRNA from 15 species
AUGCCUCCAGCCCCAGGUCAUGUGUCCUGUCAUCAGCUGUCUCCUCCAGCUGAUUCUCCAUCCACACGAGGUACAGCAGACAAGGAAUUGGUUUGCAGAGGGAUGCUUUCCUCUAUACUCAUCUCAAACAGGCCACAUACAUGCUUAUUAACCAACACAACUUUCUCUUUUUCUGUCCCAGCAGUCAACAUCAGGCCUCACCUUUCUCCUUGUAAAACAGCUUUAAACCUCCUUCUCUCAAGCUGCUUGCUUGUUCCCUCCCUUCUCCUCCCCCUGGGUUGUGUGUACGGGGGGGGGGGGGCAAAAGUGCUCCACCACCCACCAGGGUCCGUGUUCGGUUUCCUACCCAGAGAGGAAGCACCACUGGGCCUAAAACAAUUACCAGUUUAAGUGUGCUAAAUCAACUUGCAUUGCCGAAACAAUGCGACGGCUGCCACUGUUAUUUACUGUAAUGAACUGGGCCCUAUUGUGAGCAUGGCGCUCUUUGGGGACCUCUCGCCAGGCUGAAUGCAACAAGCCCUGAAUGGAUGUCAGGCUACAUAAAGGUUUUUGAGCAACAGUGAGAGUGUUGCCUUGUGGAUAAAAAGAGUGGCGGUGAGAUCAUAUUUACCCACCAUUCAGCCUGCUUUAUAUACGCCCAUCGGCCACAUCCUAUUCGGAUAAAUCAGGGACAGAGGGAGCGGCCGGCAGACUAGAGUGUAUUUUCCACAGUCAAUUCGGAGCGGGACCUGACACAAGCAUGGGAAAGCAAAUAACCCGGAUUAGGCUUCUUCAAAGGCCUGGCCCUGUGAAAGAUGGGAGCAGGAGGAGCAGACAAAGGUGGGAGUUAGCGGUACAUACACACACACACACACACACACACACACACACAGACUUACUGUUAUGACAGUAAGACACACACACACACACACACACACACACACACACACACACACACACACACACACACACACAGAAAGUUGAGAUGGUGUACAAAACUCCAUCCAGCUGAGGUGUGGGUUUGUGUGGUUGUUUUUGAGUUUUUCUAAGACGGAGGAUCAGGCACAUGAGGAAGAAGAUGGUUGUGUGUGUGUGUGUGUGUGUGUGUGUGUGUGUGUGUGUGUGUGUCUGUGUGUCUGUGAGGGUUUGGGGAGGGAAGGAGAUGGGGGUAGCGUGAGGAUUGCAUGUUGAGGCAUCUACACUGCAGGAACAGACUUCCCCUCACCUGCUUGGUGUGUGAGUCUAACACUCAGCCAAGCCAAGCCUGGCUUGCCAGAGAACCACUGCCAGGCUGUGUGUGUGUGUGUGUGUACACGUGCAUUUGUGUGUGGAAACUUCAUCCCAUCUUUGAGUGCAACUAAAGUUCAACCGAGGAUGUCUGUGUUUCAUUAAAACCAUCAGUGUAUCUGCAGACAAACACAGACCAUUAUAAAGCUAGUUUCCCUCAAAACGUGAGGGAAUCUGACUGCCGCAGCUUUGAGGAGCUCACUGAGACUCUCCACAGCAAUUUAUAACGUACACACGGUUUAGCAGCACACGCCAUACAUUACUCCAAACCACAACAAUAUUAAUGGUGCAGCAGGCUAAUUUCUCAGUGAUGGGGCAGUUAAGAUUGUCAGUGCUUCCCUGACAUGAAAUCAUGUUACACACAUGUGCUACAUACCUCUGUACACAGUCUGUAGUGCUGACAUGACUUGCACUCAAAGACAGCCCUAUUCAAAAGCAGGAAUGUUCACAGCAGUGUGUGUGUCAAUGUGUGUGUGUGUGUGUGUGUGUGUGUGUGUGUGUGCGAUGGGGGGGUUCAGAGUUAUUUCUCCUCUCUCCAUGUUUCAGUCCAUUUUUCUUUCUUUCACUUCCUAUCUCACUAUAAAAAUGCUCACCCUCUUUUCCCAAGAGUCACAGUAGCCUCCAAAAUUUACACACACAUACACACACACACACACACACACACACACACACAGUCAGAGGCAUGUAGAAAGCAUGAAAACAUACACACACACGCACGCACGCUUACACAUGCAGGCACAUAGCACUCCUCUCCCUCAGGCGGUCUGGCUGUAAGAUGAUACCUCGUCUCGGAGCAUUUCGCACAUGCCUUCCCGGACAGUUCCCACACUCCCGGCCGCCUCAGCCUGUCUGACCUUUGCCAAG